GACGAACGCUGGCGGCGUGCUUAACACAUGCAAGUCGAACGGAAAGGCCCUGCUUUUGUGGGGUGCUCGAGUGGCGAACGGGUGAGUAACACGUGAGUAACCUGCCCUUGACUUUGGGAUAACUUCAGGAAACUGGGGCUAAUACCGGAUAGGAGCUCCUGCUGCAUGGUGGGGGUUGGAAAGUUUCGGCGGUUGGGGAUGGACUCGCGGCUUAUCAGCUUGUUGGUGGGGUAGUGGCUUACCAAGGCUUUGACGGGUAGCCGGCCUGAGAGGGUGACCGGCCACAUUGGGAGUGAGAGAAGGCCCAGACGCCUACGGGAGGCAGGAGUGGGGAAUAUUGCACAAUGGGCGGAAGCCUGAUGCAGCAACGCCGCGUGCGGGAUGACGGCCUUCGGGUUGUAAACCGCUUUCGCCUGUGACGAAGCGUGAGUGACGGUAAUGGGUAAAGAAGCACCGGCUAACUACGUG
rnacentral:rRNA from 1 species